GACCUGCAGGGCUUGACACUUGUGGUGUUGCCGGCACAGCUUUCCCGGUAGACAAAGCUGCUGAAACUGCAGGUGAUUAAAAAAAAAAAAAAAAAAAAAGGGAAAAGGGAGCUUUGAAGAGAACUUCCAUGUGCAUGGUGGUGUUUUUCACUGAGUUUGUCACAGUUGACAGAGAAGUGGAACUUACUGGGGAAUAGUUAAAGGUUUAAGAGGUCUAUAAUUGAUCCUGGUUACUCGGUUACUGUGACUUUGUAAUUGCAGAUUAUACCUUCCUUCUUUUCUUUUCCCCCUUUCUGGCAUUAGGUUAAGAUACAUUUCAGGUUGGAAUUUAAAAUGUACACACAUGAUUUGCUUAUCUUCUUUCAGUUCACCUGACAUUAUUUCUGUCGUGCUGCAUAGCUUUUGGUAUUCUAAAGUAAGGCUAACUCACUCAGAGAACAAAUUAUUGUCAAAAAGCAUUUUACACACUAAACAUAUUUUCAAAACUAAAAAGGGGGGAAGAGAAUGCAUGUACAUGAACAAGUCCUAGAUCAGAAAUGCAUCUCAUUUAGGUUUGUUAAGCUUUUUUGUUCCUUGUAUUGAUUCCUCUUCAGGACAGGUGGAGUUGGUGAACAUGACCACCACAGAUGGCAGACUGAGAAGUACACAGUCAGCAAUACUUAGGAAUCUGAGAUGUGUGGUUGAAAUGAAAAAUAUAAUAAAAAUCCCAGCUAUGUGCGAAUGAAGGAUGAUUGAGGUGGCCACCUUCUGAAUGACUGGGAAAAAGCUGUAUGAGUGAAAAAAGCUGCAUAGAUAUCUAUGUGUGUGAACUUAAAUACUUAAUGAAUGUUAAGAUUUUAAGAGAAUGUGUUAUAUAGAUUUAAUUAUGGUAAGUUGAUGCUGCUAGCCUUCGGAGAUUGGAAGCAGAUAUUGAAGAUAUUGCGAGUUAAUGCUGGUCAAAAUUGACUAAAUGGUCUGUUGGUAAAUACAACUAUCAGGAUGGCUUUUACCUAUAAUCAAGACAAGCUUGCUUGUGUUGUUUUAACCUCUCUGAUCAUAGUAGGUCAAUUCAGGAACAACUACAGUGGUUUAAAGAACAUACCAAAAAAAUAACUGUACAAUCCUCUUGGUUAGAUAACCUGUUUUUAAAUCUUGGUCUUUCUGGAUGGAGUUUGAGCUUAUUGAAAGAGGGUUUACGCUGAUUAAUCAUUAUUUCAAUAAUGUGAGUUGUUGUCCAUAUAAUAUUUAGCUGUAUAGUGCAUAGACUAGAACAAAUGACAAAAACAGCCUUAUUGGUCCAAAACAAAAACAGGGGAAUUGUGGAGAAUCGGUUACAUAGACCUACAAGAGCUGAGUGAGCAUGAACUUGGCAAAGUUAGAACACAGUUGGUAUAGUUGUGUGCAAGUAAGGUCACGCUGGCCUUGGCAGUAACCGUUAUGCAAUAACAAGAUCUUGCUGUUAUCUUGUGGUCACCAGAAGCAUGGGAAAAAGAAGUAACUGAGAAUCUUCACAAACAGAAAUUGAGGGCGUUCCUAACCUCUAAGGCUGCUAUCAAUUGUAGAGCUAAGUUACAGAAUAUUAAUGAUCUUAUUAUGUAUCCUAUAUAUACUGUGAUGUAUAAUCAAAGAAAUGAAGCUUACUGAUACUCAUAUUGAGCAUCCACGCCUCCCGCGCUGCAACACAGGACUGUUGGUAAAUGAUGGAGAGCGGCUUGGCUAGCUCUUCUGCCAGCUCCCUCAUCACCCUAGGAUGGAUCCCAUCUGGUCCCAUGGACUUGUGUGGAUCCAGGUGGCUCAGUAAGUCACUGACUAUUUCCUCCUGGAACACAGAGGGGUUAUUUGGCUUCCUGUCCCUGUCUACCAGCUCCAGAGGCCAGUUGUCCUGAGAGCCACCUGUCCUACUGGAUUUCUCUUUCCCAAACACGUGCAGGAUGGAGGAGGAGGCUACAAGGAAGAGGAUGUCACGAGCUCGCCAGGCAGCUUUCUUCCAGAAGUUCUCACCAGAGCUUCCUGCUGGACUUUUCCUGCCAAAAGAUCCUACUAUUGUUUAUGGUUAUCAUAUCUCCUCGAACAUCUGAAUAGGGCUACGUGCCAAGGAACCACGUACAACCUCCUUUGAACACUGUAAAAGUUGAGGACAAAUUUUGGAAAAUCAGGGAAGAGGAAAGGGAGAGAGAACUGGUGACUGUAGCCAAGAAUCUCUCCCCACCUCCCCUCACCUUUUCUCCACCACCACAUGCUGCCUGCCUGCCAUGGGAGACUGGAACUCUGCCGGCCUGGAGAGAACUGAGACCCACCAUGCCACAUGUGUGAGUUAUAUCUUAUCCUACCCUGACCAUAUUUCUGAGGGCCCAAAGGGAAAGCUGAAUUGAGACCCUGCACGUCCUGGGACACAGCUCCUUGUGAGGGGUGAAACCACACAUCCUGCAUUCCAGAGAACUAAAGCUGUUAGACCCCCUGCAG